rnacentral:lncRNA from 1 species
ACACUGAUCCUGCCAGAAAAUUUCAAAGACAGUAGAUUGAAAAGGAAAGGCUUGGUAAAAAAGGUUCAGGAUCAAAGAAGACAGGCAUGAGGCUACCUUCUCAGGAGCUGUAGUGUACCAUUCAGGGACCUGGCACAGUCCAUCCAGACAUCCUGCUGAGCGUCGCCCACAUAUGCAGUCUCGGACCUAUGUCCUACCUGUUCAUGCAGUUGUCCAUAUCCAGUGGGAUGUCCUAGGGGCUCAACUGUCCACAAACAUCACUGCCCCCCACAGAACUGGUACAGACCCCCAAACCACCCAUCUCAGCCCAUGAAACCACUGGCCACCCAAGCCCACAAAUCAGAAACCAGUAUGCUGCCUCCUUCCCCUCAGCCUUUACAUACAGUCACAUACCAAGCCUGUCAAUUCCACUCCCAAUGUACCUCCUAACCAUGAGUCUUUGAUUAGCAUGAUCUUUCUCUAAGCUAGGACAACAUCCUGAUGUUCCUUAUAUUUCCUCAAAUACAAACUUUCACAUCUAUCCAGA